CCUAGCUCUAAACAUAGAUAUUUUACUAAACAAAACUAUUCGCCAGAGAACUACUAGCAACAGCUUAAAACUCAAAGGACUUGGCGGUGCUUUAUAUCCCCCUAGAGGAGCCUGUUCUGUAAUCGAUAAACCCCGAUAGACCUCACCAUCCCUUGCUAAUUCAGUUUAUAUACCGCCAUCUUCAGCAAACCCUUAAAAGGAAAAAAAGUAAGCAUAACUACCCUACAUAAAAAAGUUAGGUCAAGGUGUAACCUAUGGGCUGGGAAGAAAUGGGCUACAUUUUCUAUUCAAGAACAACUUCUACGAAAACUUUUAUGAAACUAAAAGCUAAAGGCGGAUUUAGUAGUAAAUUAAGAAUAGAGAGCUUAAUUGAACAGGGCAAUGAAGCACGC
rnacentral:rRNA from 1 species